UCCCGUUUGCAUUAUUCAUUUUAAAAAUCUUUUAUACAAGUUGCUGCUUCACUAAUUACAGAUUGGCAAGUGAUCAAGAGAACUAAUAAGGGCAUGCAGAUUUCCUUGAAAAAUUCUGUUGUAAUGUUAAUAAAAGGGGCAAAGUUACAAUGUCAAUUGAAGAACUGUUUUCUUUUCCAGACACUUGUUCUUAAUGAUGAGUUAUACUUGAGGAAGACAAAUACUGUUCUUUCCUAAAGAAUUCAUUUUUCCCCCAUGAUGGCAUUUUGAAGUCUAUGAUUUGUCAAAACUCUCAGCAGGAAAUACAAUGGCUAAGCAUGGCUUAACAUGUCAUUUAUUCAAGUAACAUGGUCUCAGUUCUGUGGGUGACAGAAAUUCUCAGUCUCUGGUUUACCCUUGGCCACCAUUUUAGUCAAUGAUUACAAUGAAAGAAUGAAGUUUGUACUUUCAGAAGUGAUUUAUUCCGGUAAAGUUUAGAGUCACCUUGUUUUAUCCUUAGGGGAUAGAAAUUCGAUGUCAUCCAGGAAGGACAAAAUAGCAACCCCAUUACCAAUAACCACUACCCUAAUUACUUUUCCAUGUCUGGAAAGCAGGCUAGACUCUAAAGAGUUCCCUUUGCAUAUAUGGUGAAAGUUCCAUAUACAUAUGAAAGAAAUAUACAUGUUUCCAAAUAUUUCCAAAGACCCCAGCCCAAGUUGGUGUAAAGAAAUGGUAGCUUUACAGAAAUCAGGAAUUAGGCCAGGUAUUUGCAAGUGUAUGCUGCAAGGUAUAUGCAUGGGCAGCUGGAUGGAAUUCAUAUGAAUGGAAAUAAAGUCACCGGAGUUGAAUUCCUGCCACUUCGAGAAAAAGCCACCAGGGAGGAGCUUUCCCCAACAAUGUACUAUUUGACACCAGUCCUUUGUCUUGAUUUUAUGGGAUGUGUACAUCACUUCUUUUCAUUUUGUCCUCCUAACUUUUCUCUCUUAAAUCAUACCAUCCCUUUCAGAAGUCUACGUGACCUUCAGUGAUGAUUUCAAAGACUUCAGUUUGAAACGUUAGCAGUAUACCACUUUUCUCAUGUGUUAUGUCUGGGGUCUUCCUAAAUAUUAAAAACCUCAAGUCUUGUCAAAAUAUUCUUGGAAAAUCUUUUGAAUUGUUGGUGAUGAACAGCACAAAACACUUGGUCUUGAUUUAAAGAUUCCAUCGUCUCCCACAUGGCCUGAGGAUCUUUGUAAAUGGACAGAAAACCCUUAAAAUCAUUCACUCAGUACUUUUCUUACGUCACACUAGUGCACGGUAACUGUGUAAAGCUUAAUUACAUUCAUUGCUUGCAGUAUCGAGUCACCUGAGUGGUAUUUCAGAGGGAACUUCCUAUACUACUGAAAAUACUACUUUCUCUUCUGUCUCAAUACUUGCCUUAUGUAUUUGUUAUAGACAUUGGAAUGUGAAAUAGUAAAUGCUUCUUGUUUAAAUUUUGAACAGUAUCUACAUACAAAAUAAUACGGUCUUUCUCAACUUUGAUUUGUCAAAUUAUAGGGGAAUUAGCCCAGUUAAAACAGCAAUUUGCUUUUUGUGGAAUUAAAGGAAAUCUCUCUGGGUCCAGGCAUCAUCUGCUGAAUAAGCAAGUUAAUACAGAGGAAAGAGCACAGAGGUUCGAUUACCCGGAUUCAAUUAAAUCCUGGCUCUGCCUUUUCCUAGCCAGACAACCUGAAGCUAAAUUUAUUACCCUGUCCUGAGGCUUGACUUCCACGUUUUAAUAAUAAUAAUAUUAUCAAAUCCAUAGAAUUAUUGGGAAGUUGAAUGAGAUACUGUAUUAAAAAGAUCAGUUAUAUGGAAAAGUAGCAUAUAAACACUGUUCUUCUUUCUGAGGUUUUUAAAAAUGUGCAGUUUGGAAAACAAAGCAAUGUAAUGAGUUUGAAUAAUUAUAUCCCAAAUGUUUCUUCCUAUAA